rnacentral:rRNA from 1 species
GAUGAACGCUGGCGGCAUGCCUAAUACAUGCAAGUCGAGCGAACAGAUAAGGAGCUUGCUCCUUUGACGUUAGCGGCGGACGGGUGAGUAACACGUGGGUAACCUACCUAUAAGACUGGAAUAACUCCGGGAAACCGGGGCUAAUGCCGGAUAACAUUUAGAACCGCAUGGUUCUAAAGUGAAAGAUGGUUUUGCUAUAACUUAUAGAUGGACCCGCGCCGUAUUAGCUAGUUGGUAAGGUAAUGGCUUACCAAGGCAACGAUACGUAGCCGACCUGAGAGGGUGAUCGGCCACACUGGAACUGAGACACGGUCCAGACUCCUACGGGAGGCAGCAGUAGGGAAUCUUCCGCAAUGGGCGAAAGCCUGACGGAGCAACGCCGCGUGAGUGAUGAAGGGUUUCGGCUCGUAAAACUCUGUUAUUAGGGAAGUACAAACGUGUAAGUAACUGUGCACGUCUUGACGGUACCUAAUCAGAAAGCCACGGCUAACUACGUGCCAGCCGCCGCCGUAA